CUAAAACAUUUUGAGCAUUCAGAAACAAACCAAGUGAAUCACACUAGCAACUUCAUAACAACAAUGAGAUUUGGCCCUCUUUGUGCUCCUUGCUCUUUUAGUGAGUGCAACAUCUACAUUCACUAAUCCAUAGUGCUCUCUUGCUACAAGUGCCAUUAUUUCACAAUUCCUCCCACCAAUUACUACAAUGGGCUUCAAACACCUAGAUGUGUAGGCCUACAAGGUACAACAAACGCUUGCGACGAGCAUAUUACAACAACCAAUUAUUCAAUUGCAACAACAUUCCUUGGCCCAUAUAACCAUAUAGACCAUUGCAUCACAACGUCAACAAUUGUUCCUUCCAACACCGAACCACCUAGCGAUGGUCCUUGCCGCUACUUGCAACAAUAGCUACUUGCAUUCAACCCACUUGCUCUGGCAAAUGCAGUUGCAUACUAGCAACAACAACAACUGCAACAACUUCUACUAGCGUUCAAUCAACUAGCCACGAAGAAUGUUGUUGCCUACCUGCAACAUCAACAUUUGCUUUC